AAAGCGUGCGCAGGCGGCUUUGCAAGACAGAUGUGAAAUCCCCGGGCUCAACCUGGGAACUGCAUUUGUGACUGCAAGGCUAGAGUACGGCAGAGGGGGAUGGAAUUCCGCGUGUAGCAGUGAAAUGCGUAGAUAUGCGGAGGAACACCAAUGGCGAAGGCAAUCCCCUGGGCCUGUACUGACGCUCAUGCACGAAAGCGUGGGGAGCAAACAGGAUUAGAUACCCGUGU
rnacentral:rRNA from 1 species